rnacentral:snRNA from 1 species
GUGCUUGCUUUGGCAGCACGUAUACUGAACUUGGAAUGAUGCAGAGAAAACUAGCAUGGUCCCUACACAAGGAUGACACGCAGACUCGCAAAGCAUUCCAUAUUUUU